rnacentral:lncRNA from 1 species
CUCAAGUUUGCCUUGUUUGAACACUUCAGUUGGAAUAGUAGUCUCUUUCUUUGCCAUCCUUUUAUUUUGUUUUUUUUUUGGGGGGGUUGUUUGUUUGGUUUGGUUUGGUUUUGAGACAGGAUUUUUCUGUGUAGCCCUGGCUGUCUUAGAUCUCUCUGUAGACCAGACGGGCCUUGAAUUCAGAGUGCCACCUGCCUCUGCCUCCUAAGCACUGGGAGUAAAGGUGUGCGCCACCACUGCCCAUCUUACCCAUACUUAUCUCUAAUGACAGCACGGACCCCGGGACCUCAGGAGUCUUCUUAUUUGAGUAAUGGAGUCACUGGACCCAGGGCUUUGUGCAUGCUGGGCAUUCUAUCCACCAAGACAGAGCCUCAGCUUGCAAGUUCUAUUUCUAUCAGAAACUGCCUGGAAGCUAAAGCAAUAGAUGCAGAUGCUGAAUGGCCAUUAUUGUGGACUGCUUGCCACUUAAGUUCCACAUUCCUCAGUUUCCUCAUAUGUAAG